GGCUUAGAGUUUGAUCAUGGCUCAGGAUGAACGCUAGCUACAGGCCUAACACAUGCAAGUCGAGGGGCAGCAUGGGCUUAGCUUGCUAAGCCUGAUGGCGACCGGCGCACGGGUGAGUAACGCGUAUCCGACCUUCCGGCGGCCCGGGUCCAGCCUUUCGAAAGAAAGAUUAAUCCCCGAUGGUGUCAGGCAGUUCCAUGACAGCCUGACUAAAGAGUUAUCGGCCGCCGAUGGGGAUGCGUUCCAUUAGCUUGUUGGCGGGGUAACGGCCCACCAAGGCGACGAUGGAUAGGGGUUCUGAGAGGAAGGUCCCCCACAUUGGGACUGAGACACGGCCCAAACUCCUACGGGAGGCAGCAGUGAGGAAUAUUGGUCAAUGGGCGCGAGCCUGAACCAGCCAAGUAGCGUGGAGGAUGACUGCCCUACGGGUUGUAAACUCCUUUUGCAGGGGGAUAAAGUGUGCCACGUGUGGCAUAUUGCAGGUACCCUGCGAAUAAGCAUCGGCUAACUCCGUGCCAGCAGCCGCGGUAAUACGGAGGAUGCGAGCGUUAUCCGGAUUUAUUGGGUUUAAAGGGAGCGCAGACGGCCCCUUAAGUCAGCUGUGAAAGUUUGCGGCUCAACCGUAAAAUUGCAGUUGAAACUGUGGGGCUUGAGUACGGUCGCGGCAUGCGGAAUUCGUGGUGUAGCGGUGAAAUGCAUAGAUAUCACGAAGAACCUCGAUUGCGAAGCAGCAUGCCAGCUCGCCACUGACGUUGAGGCUCGAAGUGCGGGUAUCAAACAGAUUAGAUACCCUGGUAGUCCGCACGGUAAACGAUGGACACCCCGCUGUCGNGAUAUACAGUCNCGGNNAGCGAAAGCGUUAAGUGUCCCA
rnacentral:rRNA from 1 species